CCUGGUUGAUCCUGCCAGUAGUCAUAUGCUUGUCUCAAAGAUUAAGCCAUGCAUGUCUCAGUGCAAGCCACAUUAAGGUGAAACCGCGAAAGGCUCAUUAAAUCAGUUGUGGUUCCUUAGAUCGUACGUAGUUACUUGGAUAACUGUGGUAAUUCUAGAGCUAAUACAUGCCUACAGAGUUCAGACCGUCGUUCCGCUCUCGGGCGGCGCGUACGGUACGGACGCUUUUAUUAGAUCAAAACCGGCCCGUCGCGGCGCGCCUCGCGCGCGUCUCGAUCGCGGCCCGCGCAAAGACCUGGUGACUCUGAAUAACUUUUAGCUGAUCGCACGGUCUUCGUACCGGCGACGCAUCUUUCAAAUGUCUGCCUUAUCAACUGUCGACGGUAGAUUCAAUGCCUACCGUGGUGGUAACGGGUAACGGGGAAUCAGGGUUCGAUUCCGGAGAGGGAGCCUGAGAAACGGCUACCACAUCCAAGGAAGGCAGCAGGCGCGCAAAUUACCCACUCCCGGAACGGGGAGGUAGUGACGAAAAAUAACGAUACGGGACUCAUCCGAGGCCCCGUAAUCGGAAUGAGAACACUUUAAAACCUUUAAACGAGGAUCAAUUGGAGGGCAAGUCUGGUGCCAGCAGCCGCGGUAAUUCCAGCUCCAAUAGCGUAUAUUAAAGUUGUUGCGGUUAAAAAGCUCGUAGUCGGAUCUGUGUCUGGGCGGUGCCGGACCACCCUCGCGGACGGCGUGUCGCGGUGCGGGCGUUUCGGGGGACCACGCGUCCCUCCGGUGCGUCCGUUGCCGCGCUCGUCGGCCGUUUCGGGGUGUUAGUUACCGGCACGUCGGCCGGACGUAUUGUCGGCAGGCGGACACGUGUCCCGUGUCCUCGUGCGUGCCGUUCGACCACGCGUCGUGCGGUCGCCGGGGAACGGUGACGGCGGCCGCCUACUCCAAUCUUGCUGUGCGGUGCUCUUCACCGAGUGCCGUCGGCGGGCCGACACGUUUACUUUGAACAAAUUAGAGUGCUCAAAGCAGGCUCAAAUCUGGCGGGGCGGCCUCGCGGCCGUUCCGUCAAAAAGCCCUGAAUACUGGUCGCAUGGAAUAAUGGAACAAGACCUCGGUCCCGCGCAUCUCCGCUCUUCGUGGGCGCGCGAAACCGCCUUCCGGGUGUUUCCGUGCGCGGGCCGUCGGGCCGCGCGGGUGUAACAGCUCGCGCGCGUCCCGCCGGGUCGGUUUUCGGGACCGGAGGUAAUGAUCAACAGAGACGGGCGGGGGCAUUCGUACCGAGACGUUAGAGGUGAAAUUCUUGGAUCGUCUCGAGACGAACUGACGCGAAAGCAUUUGCCAAGUACGUACUCGUAUGAUCAAGAACGAAAGUUAGAGGUUCGAAGGCGAUCAGAUACCGCCCUAGUUCUAACUGUAAACGAUGCCAGCUAGCGAUCCGCCGGCGUUUCCAUUAACGACCCGGCGGGCAGCUUCCGGGAAACCGAAGCUUUUCGGUUCCGGGGGAAGUAUGAUUGCAAAGUUGAAACUUAAAGGAAUUGACGGAAGGGCACCACCAGGAGUGGAGCCUGCGGCUUAAUUUGACUCAACACGGGAAACCUCACCAGGCCCGGACACCGGAAAGAUUGACAGAUUGAGAGCUCUUUCUUGAUUCGGUGGGUGGUGGUGCAUGGCCGUUCUUAGUUGGUGGAGCGAUCUGUCUGGUUAAUUCCGAUAACGAACGAGACUUUGUCCUACUAACUAGGCGGGUAAACCGUGGUCGGCGGUGCGCGGUGCGGUCGGUCUCCGGCUGUUCCGCGUACCCGUCGGCCCGGCCCGGUAUCCCCGAACGCGUUCGCCCGUCGUAAACGGCGGUCGUCGUGCGCGGCCGCGCCA
rnacentral:rRNA from 1 species